AUUGAACGCUGGCGGCAGGCCUAACACAUGCAAGUCGAGCGAGCGGCGGACGGGUGAGUAAUGUAUGGGGACUGCCCGAUAGCGGGGGAUAACUACUGGAAACGGUAGCUAAUACCGCAUACUAUCGGAUAACCCAUAGGGGAUUAGCUAGUGGGUGAGGUCAUGGCUCACCAAGGCAACGAUCCGUAGCUGGUUUGAGAGGACGACCAGCCACACUGGGACUGAGACACGGCCCAGACUCCUACGGAGGCAGCAGUGGGGAAUUUUGGGCAAUGGGGGAAACCCUGAUCCAGCCAUCCCGCGUGUAUGAUGAAGGCCUUCGGGUUGUAAAGUACUUUUGGCAGAGAAGCGGUAUCUGCAGAAUAAGCACCGGCUAACUACGUGCCAGCAGCCGCGGUAAUAC
rnacentral:rRNA from 1 species